CUCCAGAUGUUGCUGAACUACAACUCCCAUGAUUCUCAGCCUAUUUAAUGCAUAGAAUCAUGGGAGUUGUAGUUCAGCAACAUCUGGAG